GUGCUCACUUCGGCAGCACAUAUACUAAAAUUGGAAUGAUACAGAGAAGAUUAGCAUGUCAUGCGCAAGCAUGACAUGCAAAUUUGUGAAGUGUUCUGUAAAAAA
rnacentral:snRNA from 1 species